rnacentral:piRNA from 1 species
UGUCUUUCGCACUGCAGGCUGAGUUAGA